rnacentral:misc_RNA from 1 species
GAAAUGCGAUAAUUAAUGUGAAUUGCAGAAUUCAGUGAAUCAUCGAGUCUUUGAACGCACAUUGCGCCCCCUGGUAUUCCGGGGGGCAUGCCUGUCCGAGCGUCAUUGCUACCCUCAAGCACGGCUUGUGUGUUGGGCUUCCGUCCCUGGCAACGGGGACGGGCCCAAAAGGCAGUGGCGGCACCAUGUCUGGUCCUCGAGCGUAUGGGGCUUUGUCACCCGCUCCCGUAGGUCCAGCUGGCAGCUAGCCUCGCAACCAAUCUUUUUAACCAGGUUGACCUCGGAUCAGGUAGGGAUACCCGCUGAACUUAAGC